rnacentral:misc_RNA from 1 species
UUCUGGACUUGCUCUGCAUGUCGGGCUCCCUGCACAUUUGGUGCGGCCAACCGACAUGGGGCUGUCUCUUCACUCUCCCUCCUGUCAUUGAAUUUGUCGGGGUGGGAUGCUUGUGAUCGGUUGCCUGUGCGGUUCUACCCUCUUGUGGGUAGCGAAGUCGUCCCUUGAUGGAUAUUUGCUUGCCCUGCGGACAUUUGUGUCGUUCGGGCAGCCGAAAUGUUGGCGAAAUCCCUGUGUUGGUGUACGGUUCAAUGCCGUGUUGCCAUCACUUGCAUUUCUGCCGGCUCUCACGGAUGCGGUGCCUAGUGCUAGCUCUGCGGGGCUCUGUCUCGCAGACUUCGGGAGGUCCCUUGUACGAAUCAUUGCUCUUAUACGCCGUCUCGUGUGUUGCCGCUGGUGGCAUGCAGAUCGUGUUCUGCCGUGUUGUCAUUGGCGACAUGUCAGAACAAAGUGUCCGGAGCGUGGUUGCGUGCAUGCGGAAUGCCUCUCUGUCCGUGUAAGCAGCGAUUUCCGGUUUGUGUCGUGCGAAGGCCCGCCCGUCCGGGUUGGUGCUGGAGCCGAUGCGCCGGCUCUCGUUUAAGACGUGC